rnacentral:rRNA from 1 species
GACGAACGCUGGCGGCGUGCUUAACACAUGCAAGUCGUACGGAAAGGCCCUGCUUUUGUGGGGUGCUCGAGUGGCGAACGGGUGAGUAACACGUGAGUAACCUGCCCUUGACUUUGGGAUAACUUCAGGAAACUGGGGCUAAUACCGGAUAGGAGCUCCUGCUGCAUGGUGGGGGUUGGAAAGUUUCGGCGGUUGGGGUUGGACUCGCGGCUUAUCAGCUCGUUGGUGGGGUAGUGGCUUACCAAGGCUUUGACGGGUAGCCGGCCUGAGAGGGUGACCGGCCACAUUGGGACUGAGAUACGGCCCAGACUCCUAAGGGAGGCAGCAGUGGGGAAUAUUGCACAAUGGGCGGAAGCCUGAUGCAGCAACGCCGCGUGCGGGAUGACGGCCUUCGGGUUGUAAACCGCUUUCGCCUGUGACGAAGCGUGAGUGACGGUAAUGGGUAAAGAAGCACCGGCUAACUACGUG